rnacentral:rRNA from 1 species
CAUGCAAGUCGAACGGUAACAGGAAGAAGCUUGCUUCUUUGCUGACGAGUGGCGGACGGGUGAGUAAUGUCUGGGAAACUGCCUGAUGGAGGGGGAUAACUACUGGAAACGGUAGCUAAUACCGCAUAACGUCGCAAGACCAAAGAGGGGGACCUUCGGGCCUCUUGCCAUCGGAUGUGCCCAGAUGGGAUUAGCUAGUAGGUGGGGUAACGGCUCACCUAGGCGACGAUCCCUAGCUGGUCUGAGAGGAUGACCAGCCACACUGGAACUGAGACACGGUCCAGACUCCUACGGGAGGCAGCAGUGGGGAAUAUUGCACAAUGGGCGCAAGCCUGAUGCAGCCAUGCCGCGUGUAUGAAGAAGGCCUUCGGGUUGUAAAGUACUUUCAGCGGGGAGGAAGGGAGUAAAGUUAAUACCUUUGCUCAUUGACGUUACCCGCAGAAGAAGCACCGGCUAACUCCGUGCCAGCAGCCGCGGUAAUACGGAGGGUGCAAGCGUUAAUCGGAAUUACUGGGCGUAAAGCGCACGCAGGCGGUUUGUUAAGUCAGAUGUGAAAUCCCCGGGCUCAACCUGGGAACUGCUUCUGAUACUGGCAAGCUUGAGUCUCGUAGAGGGGGGUAGAAUUCCAGGUGUAGCGGUGAAAUGCGUAGAGAUCUGGAGGAAUACCGGUGGCGAAGGCGGCCCCCUGGACGAAGACUGACGCUCAGGUGCGAAAGCGUGGGGAGCAAACAGGAUUAGAUACCCUGGUAGUCCACGCCGUAAACGAUGUCGACUUGGAGGUUGUGCCCUUGAGGCGUGGCUUCCGGAGCUAACGCGUUAAGUCGACCGCCUGGGGAGUACGGCCGCAAGGUUAAAACUCAAAUGAAUUGACGGGGGCCCGCACAAGCGGUGGAGCAUGUGGUUUAAUUCGAUGCAACGCGAAGAACCUUACCUGGUCUUGACAUCCACAGAACUUUCCAGAGAUGGAUUGGUGCCUUCGGGAACUGUGAGACAGGUGCUGCAUGGCUGUCGUCAGCUCGUGUUGUGAAAUGUUGGGUUAAGUCCCGCAACGAGCGCAACCCUUAUCUUUUGUUGCCAGCGGUCCGGCCGGGAACUCAAAGGAGACUGCCAGUGAUAAACUGGAGGAAGGUGGGGAUGACGCCAAGUCAUCAUGGCCCUUACGACCAGGGCUACACACGUGCUACAAUGGCGCAUACAAAGAGAAGCGACCUCGCGAGAGCAAGCGGACCUCAUAAAGUGCGUCGUAGUCCGGAUUGGAGUCUGCAACUCGACUCCAUGAAGUCGGAAUCGCUAGUAAUCGUGGAUCAGAAUGCCACGGUGAAUACGUUCCCGGGCCUUGUACACACCGCCCGUCACACCAUGGGAGUGGGUUGCAAAAGAAGUAGGUAGCUUAACCUUCGGGAGGGCGCUUACCACUUUGUGAUUCAUGACUGGGGUGAAGUCGUAACAAGGUAACCGUAGGGGAACCUGCGGUUG